rnacentral:lncRNA from 1 species
UUUCCUCAUCAAGCAAGUCCAUGAGACCAUGGCGAUCAGCUGAACACUACAUUGUAGCUUGGGUUUACGUUACCGCAUGAUAUAAACUGGAAACACGGUAGUAACCCCUUAGGUAGUGUUUGGUUGGCUCAAAUGUAACGUAAUCUGAUUACUGAAGGUAACGAAUCCCAUUACAUAUGUUUGGUUGCGGUGGUUUGUAAUCAAUUGACACUGUAAUCGAAUCCCUUACCUAAAUAAUAUCUAUACAAGCUUGUUACCCCUCCUCCCCCACCGUAAUCAGAUAUAGCACCCACACAGUAAUCUGAUUACGUUACCAGAGUGCAACCAAACAAAGAGGGCAAUCACCUAUUCCACCUCUAAAUACACUGUAAUUUGAUUCCCUUUGCGUUUACAUUACCUUAGCACGA